GCCUCCUCAGGCACGCGCCAGGCCACGCCCCCUCACCCGCUCGGCCUGGGGAGGCUCGCGCCCCGGGGGCGCCUCCAUCGCUGCGGUCCAGUCCCCUCGCCCUGGGCCUCUCGCUCGCCUUCCGGUUCCGCCCCUCACCUGCCCCGAGGUGUCGGGGCGGGACCGACCACCGGGAGAGGAGGUGAGGCGGGCGGCGGCGCGGCUCUGAGGAGAUUCUUUGGAAUGAAACCAAUGGGAGACCGAGGGCUGAGAGAGUCUCAUCGGAGCAGAUGGGCCAGCAGCCACCAGAGCUUGUUGCCCUUGGCUGAGAGCAGUCCUGGGCCUGGACAUCUUGCCUGUGGUGGGUGCUGUGAUCCUGUUUUACAGAGAAGGACACGGAAGCCUAGGAUUCUCAUACCCGCCCCGCCCGGUGUAAGCCCCAGCGCCAGCCUGCCCUGCACCUCUCUGCUCCCCCGGAGCCGCCCCUGAAGAAACGCCACACAGCUGGCUUUCUCUGCCCCCGAGCUCCGCCAGGGUCU